rnacentral:tRNA from 1 species
CGCGGGGUAGAGCAGUUUGGUAGCUCGCAAGGCUCAUAACCUUGAGGUCAUGGGUUCAAAUCCCUUCUCCGCAA